rnacentral:snoRNA from 1 species
UUGCUGUGAUGACUUCCAGUGGGUUUCGCUUGUUUCUGAGGGCCAGUGAUGCCUCUCUCUUGGCUGUCUGAGCAA